UACGGAGGGUGCAAGCGUUGUCCGGAUUUAUUGGGUUAAAGGGUGCGUAGGCGGCCUUAUAAGUCAGUGGUGAAAGCCCAUCGCUCAACGAUGGAACUGCCAUUGAUACUGUAAGGCUUGAGUACAGACGAGGUAGGCGGAAUUGAUGGUGUAGCGGUGAAAUGCAUAGAUACCAUCAAGAACACCGAUUGCGUAGGCAGCUUACUAGGCUGUAACUGACGCUGAGGCACGAAAGCGUGGGGAGCGAACAGG
rnacentral:rRNA from 1 species